CCCCUCCCGAUGCAUAUGCCUAGCCACAAUGGAUUUGGAAAUGUUCCCCUUUUUCACUAGUAAGCCUGGGGGGCGGACAGACAAUCGCGCCCACGCAUAUCACAUAACUCAACAUACAACUCAACAUUGCACUCACACUUCUGACUAAUGGGAAAAUUUUAAACAUUCCUUAGUUAUCAGAUAACCUACAGCACAUCACGCUCUAAUUAUGCAUACACAAAAUUAACACCACACAAAACAUGCACGCUAUCUAACCGCAUGACG